CAUUGGUCUAAGCUGUCUGCACUGUCCAUCAUCAUUUUGUCCAUCAGAGGAAUCGUCAAAAUCGUCAUAACUGUCACUAUCAUCAUAAAUGAUAGAAACAUCAGACUAUGACGAACUUUCAGAGACUCUGCGCUGUUUUUCUUUUUAUUUUAGGAGAUUUUUAAUCCUUGUGAUCAACUAAAAUGUGCAUUCAUAACUUUAUCAUGAGUCAUCACAGAACAUUAGGGUUUCUAACUGACCAAUCAGAGAGCUGCAUUUUAGAGUACCUGCCAGUUUCCACUUUGGUAUAACAAAGUAUAUUUACAAUGAACAUAAUAGUGACUUUAGAAAUAAAUAUCACACUAUUUUAAAAAUAAAAUCAAGAUUUUUCACUGCACAUGCUUCAGAUGAUGCUACAAACAACAAAACUUUGAAGUUUCAUUGAAAUGUUAUAUUGAUUUAAUACCUUUAUUUUAGUUAAAAGUUUGAGAUUUUACACUGAGAGUCUAUGAUAAAGUCCGAGUAAAAUUUAAUCAAUACCCAAGUGAAAUAAGUAUCAUUCCACAAUGUUUUGGACAUGUUAAAGUUAUGAAUUAAGUGCUUUUCUCAAAGCAACAAGAAAUUAUAUAAAUUUAAUUAAUUGGGGGUCGAUAAUAGCAGAAGGUCAUAUUUUCAAUCUGCUAUUAUCGACCCCCACAUAAUCUUUCCAGAAGUUGCAAGAGACUACAAAAAUGGCUGAUAGAAAUGAGUUCUAUAUGUGUAUAGUAGGAUUAAAUACAAAAUUAAACUGAUUCGAUCCAUAAAAACGUUACUAUUGUUGAAGACAGUAAGGCUGGACAUCUCAUGAAGCCAAGACCAGAAAGUAUUACCAGCAUGGAAACUGACAGUGUUAAAAAAAGGGAUUUUGACGAACUUCAAGAUCAGGUUAGGCGCUUAAAGAAGAGGGUUCGGGAACUCGAAAGGUUCCAAGAUUCUGCGAAAUCCAGCAAUAAAGCAUCUAAUCUGCCUGAAGGACCAAUCCUGUCCAGCCAUUCAGAAAGUCCUAGUAGCCCUUCACAGAAACCGUGUGAGGAGUAUAAUGGCUAUACAGAACAACAAUUGAAGGAUAUGAUUUGUCACGAGGACAGCCUUUUUGAGUGCUGUAAAAAAACUUCUGGCUCUGUUUUCCACUGACUACAUUACUAGCCAUAGUGUAACUGGUAGGAGAGCAAACACCAACACAGAGCCCAAACCCAAAUUUGAUCCAAGAUUGUAUGCUUGCUUAAGCAAAGUGUUAAAAGAAAAGUUUCCUGGCACUAAAGACACAGAAAUAACAUUGAAGACAGCUGUUCAAAAGAAAUGCAAAAAAGCUAAUCAGUAAAAUGAAGGUUUUAUGGAAUAAAUUUUUGAUUGUUUAA